GCCAGAGAGAAUAAAGGAAGGUUACACAAUCAUAGAAUCGCAGGACUGGUAGGGACCUUGAGAGUCAUCUAGUCCAGUUCCCUGCACUCAUGGCAUGA